GACGAACGCUGGCGGCGUGCCUAAUACAUGCAAGUAGAACGCUGAAGGAGGAGCUUGCUUCUCUGGAUGAGUUGCGAACGGGUGAGUAACGCGUAGGUAACCUGCCUGGUAGCGGGGGAUAACUAUUGGAAACGAUAGCUAAUACCGCAUAACAGUAGAUAUCGCAUGAUAUCUACUUGAAAGGUGCAAUUGCAUCACUACCAGAUGGACCUGCGUUGUAUUAGCUAGUUGGUGAGGUAACGGCUCACCAAGGCGACGAUACAUAGCCGACCUGAGAGGGGGGUCGGCCACACUGGGACUGAGACACGGCCCAGACUCCUACGGGGGGCAGCAGUAGGGAAUCUUCGGCAAUGGACGGAAGUCUGACCGAGCAACGCCGCGUGAGUGAAGAAGGUUUUCGGAUCGUAAAGCUCUGUUGUAAGAGAAGAACGAGUGUGAGAGUGGAAAGUUCACACUGUGACGGUAUCUUACCAGAAAGGGACGGCUAACUACGUG
rnacentral:rRNA from 1 species